UACGUAGGGUGCGAGCGUUAAUCGGAAUUACUGGGCGUAAAGCGUGCGCAGGCGGUUUCGUAAGUCUGAUGUGAAAUCCCCGGGCUCAACCUGGGAACUGCGUUGGAAACUGCGAGGCUAGAGUGUAGAAGAGGGGGGUAGAAUUCCACGUGUAGCAGUGAAAUGCGUAGAGAUGUGGAGGAAUACCGAUGGCGAAGGCAGCCCCCUGGGCUAACACUGACGCUCAUGCACGAAAGCGUGGGGAGCAAACAGG
rnacentral:misc_RNA from 1 species